GACGAACGCUGGCGGCGUGCUUAACACAUGCAAGUCGAACGGAAAGGCCCUGCUUUUGUGGGGUGCUCGAGUGGCGAACGGGUGAGUAACACGUGAGUAACCUGCCCUUGACUUUGGGAUAACUUCAGGAAACUGGGGCUAAUACCGGAUAGGAGCUCCUGCUGCAUGGUGGGGGUUGGAAAGUUUCGGCGGUUGGGGAUGGACUCGCGGCUUAUGAGCUUGUUGGUGGGGUAGUGGCUUACCAAGGCUUUGACGGGUAGCCGGCAUGAGAGGGUGACCGGCCACAUGGGGACUGAGAUACGGCCCAGACUGCUAAGGGAGGCAGCAGUGGGGAAUAUUGCACAAUGGGCGGAAGCCUGAUGCAGCAACGCCGCGUGCGGGAUGACGGCCUGCGGGUUGUAAACAGCUUUCGCCUGUGACGAAGCGUGAGUGACGGUAAUGGGUAAAGAAGCACCGGCUAACUACGUG
rnacentral:rRNA from 1 species